rfam:Triticum urartu cultivar G1812 contig1183231, whole genome shotgun sequence.
GCUUAGUUGGUAAAGCACAAAGCUCUCAACCUUGUGGAUGGGGGUUCAAGCCCCAU